rnacentral:tRNA from 1 species
UCCCUGAUAGCUCAGUUGGUAAAGAAUCUGCCUGCAGUGCAGGAGACCUUGGUUUGAUUCCUGGGUCGGGAA